rnacentral:sRNA from 1 species
GCGCCUGCGGCGGACCCGGCACGGAUCCAUGGAAAACAGCUUCGCAGGCAGCUGAUCCGUGUACGGCCCGGUACAUUCAGGUUCCCUGAAUUUAAUGGAUUC